CCUACGGGGGGCUGCAGUAAGGAAUAUUGGUCAAUGGACGCAAGUCUGAACCAGCCAUGCCGCGUGGAGGAUUAAGGCCCUCUGGGUUGUAAACUCCUUUUAUCUGGGAAGAACUGUACUUUUUCUUGAGUACUUGACGGUACCAAAGGAAUAAGCACCGGCUAACUCCGUGCCAGCAGCCGCGGUAAUACGGAGGGUGCAAGCGUUACCCGGAUUCACUGGGUUGUAGGUGUGCAUAUAUGUCAGUGUAGAAGUCUCCGUGCUUAACCCGGAAACUGCCGUUGAUACUAUUUGUCUUGAAUAUUGUGGAGGUAAGCGGAAUAUGUCAUGUAGCGGUGAAAUGCUUAGAUAUGACAUAGAACACCAAUUGCGAAGGCAGCUUACUACACAAUCAUUGACGCUGAGGCACGAAAGCGUGGGGAUCAAACAGGAUUAGAUACCCCAGUAGUC
rnacentral:rRNA from 1 species